rnacentral:rRNA from 1 species
AACGAACGCUGGCGGCAUGCCUAACACAUGCACGUCGAACGAGAUCUUCGGGUCUAGUGGCGCACGGGUGCGUAACGCGUGGGAAUCUGCCCUUUGGUUCGGAAUAACAGUUGGAAACGACUGCUAAUACCGGAUGAUGACGAAAGUCCAAAGAUUUAUCGCCAGAGGAUGAGCCCGCGUAGGAUUAGCUAGUUGGUGUGGUAAAGGCGCACCAAGGUGACGAUCCUUAGCUGGUCUGAGAGGAUGAUCAGCCACACUGGGACUGAGACACGGCCCAGACUCCUACGGGAGGCAGCAGUGGGGAAUAUUGGACAAUGGGCGAAAGCCUGAUCCAGCAAUGCCGCGUGAGUGAUGAAGGCCUUAGGGUUGUAAAGCUCUUUUACCCGGGAUGAUAAUGACAGUACCGGGAGAAUAAGCUCCGGCUAACUCCGUGCCAGCAGCCGCCGUAA